rnacentral:rRNA from 1 species
UACGUAGGGUGCAAGCGUUAAUCGGAAUUACUGGGCGUAAAGCGUGCGCAGGCGGUGAUGUAAGACAGAUGUGAAAUCCCCGGGCUCAACCUGGGAACUGCAUUUGUGACUGCAUCGCUGGAGUGCGGCAGAGGGGGAUGGAAUUCCGCGUGUAGCAGUGAAAUGCGUAGAUAUGCGGAGGAACACCGAUGGCGAAGGCAAUCCCCUGGGCCUGCACUGACGCUCAUGCACGAAAGCGUGGGGAGCGAACCGG